CCCUUAGAUGUCCUGGGCUGCACGCGCGCUACACUGAUGUGUCCAGUAAGCACCUAACCUCUUCCGAAAGGAACGGGUAACCUUUGCAAAGCACAUCGUGAUGGGGAUAGAUUAUUGCAAUUAUUAGUCUUGAACGAGGAAUUCCUAGUAAGCACAAGUCAUCAGCUUGUGUUGAUUACGUCCCUGUCCUUUGUACACACCGCCCGUCGCUCCUACCGAUUGAAUGUUCCGGUGAGCUCUUCGGACUGCGCGGUCUGCAGUUUCUGCGUUCCGUGCGGAAAGUUGCGCAAACCUUAACAUUUAGAGGAAGGAGAAGUCGUAACA
rnacentral:rRNA from 1 species